rnacentral:tRNA from 1 species
AGGGAUAUAGCUCAGUGGUGUAGCACCUGCCUGGCAAAUCCAAGGUCCUGAGUUCAAUUCCCAGUAUUCCCU